UACGUAGGGUGCAAGCGUUAAUCGGAAUACUGGGCGUAAAGGGCUCGUAGGCGGCCAACUAAGUCAGACGUGAAAUCCCUCGGCUUAACCGGGGAACUGCGUCUGAUACUGGAUGGCUUGAGUUUGGGAGAGGGAUGCGGAAUUCCAGGUGUAGCGGUGAAAUGCGUAGAUAUCUGGAGGAACACCGGUGGCGAAGGCGGCAUCCUGGACCAACACUGACGCUGAGUGAGCGAAAGCCAGGGGAGCAAACGGG
rnacentral:rRNA from 1 species